UACGUAGGUGGCGAGCGUUGUCCGGAAUUACUGGGUGUAAAGCGCGCGUAGGCGGGAGGCCAAGUCCGCUGUGAAAUCGCCCGGCUCAACUGGGCGCGGUCGGUGGAAACUGGUCACCUGGAGGACGGUAGAGGCGAGUGGAAUUCCCGGUGUAGUGGUGAAAUGCGUAGAGAUCGGGAGGAACACCAGUGGCGAAGGCGAGUUUCUGGACAGUUACUGA
rnacentral:rRNA from 1 species